GCAUCGGUGGCUCAGUGGUAGAAUGCUCGCCUGCCACGCGGGCGGCCCGGGUUCGAUUAGACGCUCGCUCGAUUUG